UACGUAGGGCGCAAGCGUUGUCCGGAAUUAUUGGGCGUAAAGAGCUCGUAGGCGGUUUGUCGCGUCUGCUGUGAAAACCUAAGGCUCAACCUUGGGCUUGCAGUGGGUACGGGCAGACUAGAGUGCGGUAGGAGUGACUGGAAUUCCUGGUGUAGCGGUGGAAUGCGCAGAUAUCAGGAGGAACACCGAUGGCGAAGGCAGGUCACUGGGCCGCAACUGACGCUGAGGAGCGAAAGCAUGGGGAGCGAACAGG
rnacentral:rRNA from 1 species